rnacentral:rRNA from 1 species
GACGAACGCUGGCGGCGUGCUUAACACAUGCAAGUCGAACGGAAAGGCCCUGCUUUUGUGGGGUGCUCGAGUGGCGAACGGGUGGGUAACACGUGAGUAACCUGCCCUUGACUUUGGGAUAACUUCAGGAAACUGGGGCUAAUACCGGAUAGGAGCUCCUGCUGCAUGGUGGGGGUUGGAAAGUUUCGGCGGUUGGGGAUGGACUCGCGGCUUAUCAGCUUGUUGGUGGGGUAGUGGCUUACCAAGGCUUUGACGGGUAGCCGGCCUGAGAGGGUGACCGGCAACAUUGGGACUGAGAUACGGCCCAGACUCCUACGGGAGGAAGCAGUGGGGAAUAUUGCACAAUGGGCGGAAGCCUGAUGCAGCAACGCCGCGUGCGGGAUGACGGCCUUCGGGUUGUAAACCGCUUUCGCCUGUGACGAAGCGUGAGUGACGGUAAUGGGUAAAGAAGCACCGGCUAACUACGUG